AGGGAUACAGCUCAGUGGCACAGCACCUGCCUGGUAAGCACAAGGUCCUGAGUUUGAUUCCCAGUAUCACAC
rfam:Cavia porcellus supercont2_18 genomic scaffold, whole genome shotgun sequence.